UAGGGAAUCUUGCGCAAUGGGCGAAAGCCUGACGCAGCCAUGCCGCGUGAAUGAUGAAGGUCUUAGGAUUGUAAAAUUCUUUCACCGGGGAAGAUAAUGACGGUACCCAGAGAAGAAGCCCCGGCUAACUUCGUGCCAGCAGCCGCGGUAAUACGAAGGGGGCUAGCGUUGCUCGGAAUUACUGGGCGUAAAGGGCGCGUAGGCGGAUAUUUAAGUUGGGGGUGAAAGCCCGGGGCUCAACCUCGGAAUAGCCUUCAAUACUGGAUAUCUUGAGUUCGGGAGAGGUGAGUGGAAUGCCGAGUGUAGAGGUGAAAUUCGUAGAUAUUCGGCGGAACACCAGUGGCGAAGGCGACUCACUGGCCCGAUACUGACGCUGAGGCGCGAAAGCGUGGGGAGCAAACAGGAUUAGAUACCCUGGUAGUCCACGCCGUAAACGAUGAGUGCUAGUUGUCGGCAUGCAUGCAUGUCGGUGACGCAGCUAACGCAUUAAGCACUCCGCCUGGGGAGUCGGUCGCAAGAUUAAAACUCAAAUGAAUUGAC
rnacentral:rRNA from 1 species